CACAGAAACCAGAGAGCUUGAGAAGCUGAUCACAUUCACCAGAGUUCCUUUGCAGGGAAGGGGCUGCUGGCCCUUAGUACAUAACAGGGUCCUGUUGUUCUCGAUCUCCUAAUAACUCAAUGGUUUUGGUAAGACUGCAAUCAGAUGUGCCCCAAUGCCCGAGGCUCACAUGGAGGGGUCUCUAUUGACAUCUCAGAGGGUCGUUUUGGUUCCUGCAUCCACUUCCUUGGGGGUCCCCCAACCUCAUCACACCAGUAGUGCCCAGAGGGGCCCUGUAGAAGGGAACAUGGUCCUGGAGGGAAGGGCAGGGGUGGCUCCCCUCCAGGGAAGCAAGCACCCAGGACACCACCUCCCUUCUGACAGGACCUGCCCUGGCAAGGGGGACCUGCAGGGGACCACUCGAGGAGGUGGAGUCUUCAGGGACCCUCAGGUGCCAGGGUUUAGAGUUCUGCCUGCCCCUUACUUCCCAGCACCAGAGCUGCCUAUGCUGAGAAAGCUAACAUCCGAGGAGGCACAGCUGGACGCGAGACACGCCACACUGCGCAGGGCGUUUGGGACGGAGAGUUUAUUUAGCCAUACCACGAUGAGUCCCGAGGCGCCAGAUUGUUUCCUACCUUCCCUCCACUACACUGUUCCUCCUCCUGGGACCGAGACAGGCCACGCUGAUGGAGAGCACGUGUCCGAGCUCAGGCGGAGCUGGGCGGUCUGGUAAGGUCAGCACUGGCCGAGGUGGGCGGGCAGAGCAGGGCCGCUGAGUCGGAGGCCUCGCCCAGUUCCUAGGGGCCGCCUGAGUGGGGAGCUGUCCCGGCUCCUGGUGCUGAAACCACCCUGUCCCGGCCUGACUUCUGGACAUAAGGACACUCGUUUUAUUCUCUCCAUUUGUGCCUUUGCCAUCGAUGCGAAUGCUCUGAGUUUGGAGAAAAUGUAGCCAUUUGAGCCAGGAAAAGGCAGUCACUAGGCAACAUUCUGAAAACAGGAGACCAGUGGGAUCACGUUUCACCGAGUAAAUUGACGAAAGGUCAAAAAGCUUGAUCUUGGCCACGAUGUGCCUGG
rnacentral:lncRNA from 1 species